AUUCACAUAGUUUAUUAAACAAAACAUUUUAUUUUCAUUAAAAAAAAAUCUUUAUUAGAUUAUGAAUG
rnacentral:tRNA from 1 species